GACGAACGCUGGCGGCGUGCCUAAUACAUGCAAGUCGAGCGAAGCGGCGGAUUGGUGAGUAACGCUUGGGUAACCUGCCCUUAAGUCUGGGAUACCAUUUGGAAACAGAUGCUUAUACCGGAUCCUAAAUGUUGGCCCUUCGAUGCAUUAGACAGUUGGUAAGGUAACGGCUUACCAAGGCGAUGAUGAAUAGCCGAGUUGAGAGACUGAUCGGCCACAUUGGGACUGAGACACGGCCCAAACUCCUACGGGAGGCAGCAGUAGGGAAUCUUCCACAAUGGACGAAAGUCUGAUGGAGCAACGCCGCGUGAGUGAAGAAGGUUUUCGGAUCGUAAAGCUCUGUUGUUGGUGAAGCGGUAAUCAACCAGAAAGUCACGGCUAACUACGUGCCAGCCGCCGCGGUAAUAC
rnacentral:rRNA from 1 species